GAAGGGCACACCACGUGUGGGGCUUGGGGGAGGGGAGUAGAAUGUUCCAGAAGCCGGUGGGAGAAGGCCAUUCCAGGAGGCAGUCUGAGCCAGGCUGGGGGUGCUGGGGAACGCUGUUGUCGCAGUGGCGGGGCCAUCACGGACAGGUGGGAAAGCGAGCAGACAGACAGAAGGCUGGUGCAGAGACAGAGAGAGGGACGCCGGUCUGGGCAGACGAAGCGGCUGAGGCUUACGGGAGUGAAGCCGCUGCUUGUGGCCACACAGUAUGGGAGCAGCAGUGCCAGGAGUUCAGCCGAGGUCCUUCUGACUGCAGUCGCACUCGGCGUAGGGCAAUGACAGAGGGGAAACCCAGUUCACUGUGGAAGGGAAAGGGGAGGUUCUGGUGGUUUCUGCCCGGGCACCGUGGAGGAUGGAGGCAGUGGGUAACUCGGGGGGGGGUGGGCAGGCAGGCAGGAGAAGGAGCUUGGACCGAGUUUGGCCAGGACCAAUCGAAAACUGGAUGCCAGCAAAAUACCGUGGGUGGUGUUUGUGACGGGAGCUACACGCCCAAGGAAAAAUGGAUUCCUUGAGGGAGCACUAUUGCCUUUUUAAAUAACUUUUAAAAUGGAAAGGACAGAAACAAGUUUGGAACUAAGGAAAGGUGACGAACGUGCGCGGUCAUUGACUCAGGGAGCAGAGACCUUCCAGAACAGAGUCAAGAGCGUGGGCUGCUUGGAAGGACCCAGCUUGAAGAAGACCAAGAUAAAAAAGGACGAAGCCACUGAUGACCUUACAAUUCUUCUGGGAAACAUUUAUUUGCCGUUCUUUAUCUCCAGCCUCCUUCCUCUCUCAGCCCAGACCCACAGUUCCGCUCACCUUCUCCUGGACGGAUUCCCCUGUCUAUUCUGCGGGGAGCUCCAACUUGACAUACCCCAGAGCUGCCUCCUUCCUCCGUCCCUCCGCUCCAGCCCCCACACAGACAGACAGGCAGACAGACACCAGACUCACUCACCUGUUCCCCCACCCUCCUCGGUUACACCACCAUCCACCCCAACUGACUAUCGUUCCAGAAUCUUCCCCUCCCUCACCCGAUGCACAUGUGGACGAUCCUUUAAAUAUCUCAUUGACUAAACGACCCUUUAUAUAUCUCACUGACUCAUCUCUCCUCUCCAACCUUGAGGCUACAGCCUUAGUCAGACCUCCCUUAUCUCUUAUCUAGACCGACUCACCACCACUCAACCCACCACCUUCCCGCGCCAAACCCAUCCUCCACACCUUCGCCGACUCCGAAUGCCUUUGGACCAUUUGACUCACACCUAACACCCUGCUCCCAUUCUUGCCAGAGUCAAGUCUAACUUCUUUAAAACACGGCAAAUAAUGAGAUGAGAACCAUCUGUGCGUGUAUGUAGUAACUCACUUCAUUCAUUCAAAUUAUUUCCUUGGGAUAAAUUCCCAGACUUGAAGGUUAUGGGAUCUCGUUUGGUAUCCACACAUCUGGGACUGGGCACUAAUUCACCUCCCACCUACCUGCCCCCAUUCUUCUCCAUUGAAAAAUAUGUUCAUAUUUGUGCCCUGACUCUGCUUGCACUUUUUUCCUCUUCUCUUUUAAGUCAGGUCCCGGUUAUUUUCUUUAUUGACAAAAAAUUAUUUUAAUUUUAAAGCGGUAUGUGUUUAAGCACUUCCCUUCUUCUGGUUUCUUGUCUGUGUUUUCAUUUUACUUUUACACUCAUAUUGCUUCAGGUUGCAGAAAGGUUUUUUCUAACAGGCAGGCAUUUCACGGGUUUUGCAAAGUGGC